UACGAGAGGCCCAAACGUUAUUCGGAUUUACUGGGCUUAAAGAGUUCGUAGGCGGCGCAGAAAGUAGGGUGUGAAAGCCCUCGGCUCAACCGAGGAAUUGCGCCCUAAACUACUGUGCUUGAGGGACCUAGAGGUGAGCAGAACUGAUGGUGGAGCGGUGAAAUGCGUAGAUAUCACUAGGAACGCCGGUGGCGAAAGCGAUCGACUGGACCUCUUCUGACGCUGAGGCGCGAAAGCCAGGGGAGCAAAACGGGG
rnacentral:rRNA from 1 species